rnacentral:rRNA from 1 species
UACGAAGGGGGCUAGCGUUGCUCGGAAUGACUGGGCGUAAAGGGCGCGUAGGCGGUUUGUACAGUCAGAUGUGAAAUUCCUGGGCUUAACCUGGGGGCUGCAUUUGAUACGUGCAGACUUGAGUGAGGAAGAGGGUUGUGGAAUUCCCAGUGUAGAGGUGAAAUUCGUAGAUAUUGGGAAGAACACCGGUGGCGAAGGCGGCAACCUGGUCCUUGACUGACGCUGAUGCACGAAAGCUGGGGGAGCAAACAGG